rnacentral:rRNA from 1 species
GUAGGUGGCAAGCGUUGUCCGGAAUUAUUGGGCGUAAAGCGCGCGCAGGCGGUCCUUUAAGUCUGAUGUGAAAGCCCACGGCUCAACCGUGGAGGGUCAUUGGAAACUGGGGGACUUGAGUACAGAAGAGGAAAGCGGAAUUCCAAGUGUAGCGGUGAAAUGCGUAGAGAUUUGGAGGAACACCAGUGGCGAAGGCGGCUUUCUGGUCUGUAGCUGACGCUGAGGCGCGAAAGCGUGGGGAGCAAACAGGGAUUAGAUACCCUGGUAGUCCACGCCGUAAACGAUGAGUGCUAAGUGUUAGGGGGUUUCCCGCCCCUUAGUGCUGCAGCUAACGCAUUAAGCACUCCGCCUGGGGAUACGGCCGCAAGGCUG